rnacentral:lncRNA from 1 species
CUCAACUUUUCUGAAUCUCCCACUUGGCUGUGUCUCUGUACCUGCUAAAUCAACACAGUUCCUGGCAUACAGGUGCAUUUCAGUGCAUGCUGGUGAGACAGCGAAGGGCUUGAAACAGUCCACAAAAGUUGAUGCAGGAGAGCAGUACAAUCCUUUCUGGAGUGGGACUCAGAGAAAGAUCAUGCAUGUUGAAGUCAUUCCAGCAGCAGUCCAGGGGAGUUGGGGCAGGUAAGAUGGGAUAAGUGCACUCCAACCAUCAUUUCUGUUGGUCAUAACUCCAGGAGAGAAAGUUUAGAACAGCUAUUUGAGGACGGUGAAAAGAAAACAGCAGAAGGAAUAUUGGUGAAGAACACAGAAUUUGAAGUACAUCAAACCAGUAGGCUCACUUCCAAGCCAUACAUGUUUGGAUCUGGUUUUAAUGAGGAUACCAAGACCUUUGAGAACUGAAGUAAUAGAGAGGUCAUCACCUGGUUCCUAGACUGGCUUCUGGGUGGUGCACACCUGAAAUGGAGACAAAAAGCAGUUUGAAAACUGAGUGGAUGUUGACAUCACAGCGCACAGAAGAAAUAAUGUCUCGCUAUGUUGCCCAGGCUGGACUUCAA